rnacentral:lncRNA from 10 species
AACAGAAGGGCUGGGUCCAAGUCUGAAUAUUGACAUAUUUGAGCAGGUGGAGAAGGAGGGAGGAAGUUAGGGGAAGCUUUGUAAACAAGAAUGCAAAGUAGCAUGCAAGAAUAGAAAUGCAUUCUACUGGGUGUGCAUUCUUUACGUCAUGAAGGACACAAUCUAACAGAAUGCAAAAAUAGAAGCAAGUACAGGUAGAGCAUGGUGGCUCACGCCUACAAUCCCAGCACUUUGGGAAGCCGAGGUGGGAGGAUGGCUUGAAAGUUCGAGACCAGCCUGGGCAACAAAGUGAGAGUCCGUCUCUACACAAAAGCAAAAAGUUAGCCAGAUGUGAUGGCAUAUGCCUUUGGACCUGUGGUCCCAGCUACAUAAGAGACUGAGGCAGAAGGAUCACUUGAGCCCAGAAGUUUGAGACCAGCCUGUGCAACAGAGUGAGGGCCCAUCUCAAAAAAAAAAAAAAAGAAGGAAAGAAGGAGGGAAGGAAGGGAGAGAGAGAAAGAAAAAGAGAGAGAAAGAAAGAAAGAAAAUAAAGAAAGAAAAGAAAAGGAAAGAAAAGAAAAGAAAAGGUAAGUAUAGUGCCUGGUGUCCAGUGGAACCAGCGAGAUGAUGGGCUGGACUAGAACUUAUGACAGAAGUUCACAGGUGUGGAGGAUAAAUGGGAAAGACAGCUAUGAAAAGCCUUGAUGAGCAAGGAGAGUUCUUCUAAUUGAACCCAAGGAUACAGGACAGCCACCGUGGGUCCCUUGGCAGUGGCUUGUGAAACAUGUAAACGUAAGACCUGUGCAUGUCUUAUGGGAGAAAAUGUUUCCAGGAUGAACUCACUCAGAGGAGGAGACAGCAUUACAGUGGCGCCAGACAGCUGCAGCUCUACUUGCCCUAGGCACGAAGAGGGUGAGAAACAAAUGCUUCAGGGGACUGGCUAGCAGCAGUUCUGAGGCCUGCUGCCCUGAAGCUUCUUUUCUGCAGCUCCUGGCUGAUCCGGGUUCUGGAUGCAUCAUGUCUUGAAGGCACUGACAAUAUCCACUUCCUAUUCCUUAGCUGCAUAUGUCUUCCUUCUCAUGGACUAGGGUGAAGGCCUGGUGCUGAUGCAGAGAGACUAACUAGAGACAAGUACCUGCUUUGGCCUGAGACAUCUUUGACCAGAGGCACAGGAUGUACUUGCUUAACGGUAACCUAUACCAGGGUUAACCCUUGCCCAGCUGUUCCAGGUUAGGAGCCCUUUCUGCACUGACAGUCUCCUUCAAGAACAAAAGAAUAUUUUGAAUUGGAAAAGAUUAGCUUGCUCUUUCCUUCAUUUUCAGUUGAGGAAACUGAGGUCAGAAAGGGUGAGAGACUUGGCUGGACUAUGACGAGAUCACUGGGACUGGAACCUUGUUUCUGCACUUGAGGGCCAGCUGCCAGCAGCCUCCCUGCACCACUCCCAGGUGGUUUGCUCGUCCCAACGCACUGCAGUGCGGGGAAGGAGUGUGCUCUCCUUCAUAACCCAGCAGGGAUUAACGCAGGCUACUUAGCUGAAUUUAGAAAGUACUUGGUGAAUCAAUAUAAUGAAUCUCAGAAUUCACAUUUUCUCUCAGAUUUUACUAUUGAACAAAUGAAAAGAACAAAAAGUAAAAACAAAUGGACUGAUUUUUUAAAGAUCACACAAGUCAUCACCAUUCCCAGCUAACUGAUGGACUCCCUUGGAAGGUGACGGCUUCUCCCCCACCUGUCUAAGCACACAGAAAACACAUCAAGUCCUCCGUGUGGCUCAGCACCACCUCUUUUCCUCUCACACACCUGGUGGAGACUGUUGAAUGAAUAAACAGACAACCUCAUUUGUAAGUAGGUGGCUUGGAAUCCAGAAUGCAUUUUCCAAAGGAAACGACGUCAUAGGAGGGCUUGGGUUUCCUGGGCCUGCCCACAAAGCCUAAUUAAUCUAUCACACUACUGAAAGGCUAUAUAUUUUCAGUAGGAAAUAAGGGGAAAAAGAAGUACAGUUACCAUAAUCAUCAUAAAAUAAACAUAAAAACCUGAACAAGAAAUGCUUGCCUAGGGCAGAUCUUAUCCCCACUACCCAGCUCCACUCAGAAGAUGGAGCAGAGCCUGUCUCUCUCUCUCUUAAAUGAGUGAUCAUGCCUCAAAAUUAGUGCCUUCAUUUACUAAUAGCCGAAUCUCUCUCUGACAGCUGCUCAGAUUAACCAGGCAUAUAUUACUUUCAUCUUUAAUAAACAGGCACUCUAGAGUCGGUGGCUGGUCUCCAUGGCAACCAGAUUAAGUUUUUCCGCUGAUGUUGGGGGCAAAAAGACAGAAGGAAUAGACGCUAAGAUGGCAGGGGAAGGUACAUGUGGAUUAUAAAGUACUGUCCUCCAUUUCUUUACUGGUCCCAGGCUACCUCCCAGCAAGAAUGGAGAGUGGCUGUUUCUACCUUCUACUGCACACAGAGGAAAAGGGGUCCUGAUCAGUGCUAUCAGUACGAUGGGAAAGGGCUGGGUUACAGAGCUUAGCGCACACCGAGGCCUGCACUGCCAAGGAGCUACAUGCAAUUGCAUCCAUCCAACUGAAUUCUCAUUUCCUGCGUGUGCCUGGCCCUGUGCUUCGUGCUGCGGAGGUGGUUUACAGUAAAAGCAUGUAGACUAAGUGAGGAGAGGUGCCAACACGUAUCAUGGGGAGGGCAGGAGGAGGUCCAGCCCCUGCCUCCCCAACCAGGAGCAGCUGCAGCUCACAGCACCAUUUGCCCUCAAGCUAAGCCACACCUAGUUCUUGAGCUCUGGCCAGAAUGACUUUAGCCUUGCCAAUCUAGCAGCUGGUCAGGCUGAAUCAAGCGUUUUUUGAUAGUUCAUGGAUGCAGCAUCAUCCACUGGGCCUCUAACACCUGGAGACCCACAGAAUUCCUGCCUUCCCUCAGCCAUGACUGGUGGAUUGACUUGGCCUGCGUGACUGGGAUCUGACUCACAUUCCUGACCCAGGCUGGGGCCCUGACACCCUGCCUUUCUCUUGUCUGCAUCUUACCUCAGGCACCUGAACCUAGUUUCAUACCCCUAGGCAGGUUCCUGCUCUAAAGGAGUGGUCGCCCAGAACCACCCUGACAAAAGCUUUCAUACUGUUUCAGCUACUGUUUGCUGCUGGAACUGCCUGCCUCUAUGCCCCAGCAGGGGGACAGAUUGCUGUGGGCCCUGAAGACUGGACCUUGGACCACUCGCACCCACUCAGGCCAAGGUCUGUCAACUUCUGGUACCAAAUUCUUCCUCAUCCCUACAAACCAGGGAUGCCGCCAAAAUACCAGAAAUCCUUAUUCCUGAGCCUGAGGUGGUAUUUGAAAUGGGUCUUGAAGGGUGGCCAGGAUUUGGACAAUAAAAGAGAAGACUUUCUCUGUCAGCACCAGGGUCCUUGAUGAGAGUCAUAGGGUGAUGGUGUAAUUCAUUCAAAUCUCUAUUAGGUAACCCUAACCUCUGUCUGUUUUCAUGGUGCUUUCCGCUGGACUCUCCAUCCCUCUGCUGUGUCUCCUGCCUGCUCCCCCUCGGGUGCUUCCCUGUAUUCCUUUUCUCCUGUACUUUUCCACUUGCACCCUACGUCAGUGUUUCCUGAGCUCACCUCUCCUUUUCCUACUCUCUGCUCUGAUACUGAACACGGGGUGGCGGGGGGGUAGUGGGGAGGGGUGGGGAAAGCUGCUUGCUGUGCCCCAGGUAAUUCUCUCAUCCUCACUGCCAGCUUUAAGGGGAAAUACUGGUCCCAGAAGACAAACCCUUCCUCCUGUCCGUUGGAAACAAGUAGGUUGAUUUUUCCAUCACAGGAGUGAAACAGCAAAGGCUGUUGGUUGUACCAGUGGAUCCAGCGCCUACUAAGAGCUUACUACUCAUUUCUAUCCAUUUAGUGUGGCAUACUCCAGAAGAUUCUCUUGCCCUUCCCUUGACCCAAAAUACCUCCUCUACUGGUGCCUGAAAGCCUACCAUUAACCUAGUCAUUCCUUUGUGUUAAUCAUUACUUUUUCCUGAUGGUCUUCCUUUGAACAUAAAAGCACUCCCAGAAGGGAAAAGAUUUGCUUCCUAAUGCCUCUAUGCAAACGAAGAAUGGAGGGGAAAGUGCCGAAGGUUUCAAACCUUCCCAAUGGGGUUGGAGUAUAAAUCUAAUUUGACUGGGUGGAGAAUUAACAAAAUACAUUGAAAUUAUAGAACUGCUGAUGUUCAUAUAGUCAUUUUUCCAUUUUUUAAUCUUCUUCAUUUAACUAAAACAUACAUACAAUAGUCUACAAAUCUUAAAUGUACAGCUUAAUACAUUUUACAUAUGUAUAUACUCAUGUAACUACCACCUAGAUUAAAUAUAUUUCCAGUGCCCCUGCAUCUCUUUCUGGUCAAUAUUACUCCAAAAAUAACCACUUUUCUGACUUCUGUUACCCUAGAAUAGUUUUGCCUAUUCUUGAGCUUCAUGUAAAUGGAGCCAUGUGGAGCCCAGACUUUUUGACUCAAUAUAAUAUUUUUGAGAUUCAUGCAUGUUGUUGCACAUAUCAGUCAUCUGUCCUUCUCUAUUAUUGCUUAGUAUUCCAUGGUAUGUAUUUACUACAAUGUCUUAAUCCAUUUUUCUGUUGAUAAACACUUGAGUUAUUUCCAGUUUUGCAAAAAGCUGUUUCCUAUUUUGAAUAAAUCUGUUGGAACAUUCUUGUACAAGGUUUUGUGAACAUAUGCACUAAUUUUUCUUGGACUAUACCUAGCGGUGGGAUUCUUGUUUCAUAGAGUAGACAUGUACAUAACUUUUUUAAAAACCACCAAAUAGAUUUUCAAAGUGAUUAUAUCCUUUUGCAUUCCCACCAGCAAAUGCGUGACAGUUGCAGUCACUCCACAUUGGGUCAGUCUUUUCAAUUUUAGCUAUUCUGGCAGAGAAAAUUUUGCAGUACUUUUGCUACGAGAGGUAAAUUCCUGAGCUGGGGCUCAUCGGCAGGAGAAUAGAGGCCUCCUAUCCAUGACAGAUGUGGAAGUAGAAUUCUGAUGAGUUUUUGUUUUGUUUCAUCUUAAUAACGAGAAACUGUGGGGCUAGAAAGCUAGAGAAAUAUGUUUUAUCUUGUAUCAGUACCAACUAAAAGAAAGCCAAUUCUGGGGGUGGUGGGAGGGUGUCACCAGUGGAGAAAAGGGCUAAUUUAGGCUAAUUCUAGGAUAAUACUCCCAGUAGGGUGUUAAGACAAUACUGCAGGCCCAUGUCUGAUGAUCCAGUCAGAAAGGGAGCUCAGACCAGGAUGCUUGGUUGCCAGUAAUAGAGACUAGCUUGAGCUAUUAGGUUGGUGCAAAAGUAAUUGUGGGUUUUGCCAUUAGAAGUAAUGCCAUUCCUUCUAAUGGCAAAACUCGAAAUUACUUUUGCUCCAACCUGAUAGCAUGAUCAAGUGGGAACGUAUGAAAGGAUAUUUGUGUACCCACAGAAUUGACAGAGUUGAGAGCCUGGCCUAGAGAUAAGCAGGAACUGAGGAGGAUCCAGAAGGCCAGGAGCAGGCAGCUCAGUCGAUCAGUGUGCUUCCCUGAUAACUGUUCCUGUCAUCCUUGUGUCACCUGUUCGAGGUUCAAAGAUCCAGAAGUGUUUAUCAGAUUUGGUUGAGCUUAGGCCGCAUGCCCACCCUCAGGGCUGGAGGAAGCAGAAUCUGGCCACUUCACAAUCUUCCAUGGUGGGGAGCAGGUGCCUGGAUUUAUACCCCAUUAAGGCUGCAUCCAUGGGAAUAAGUAAUUCCCCAAAAGAAAUGAGAUGCCAUCAGGAAGGAGGAAUGGAUGUUGAGUAGCCAAAGAAAUGCCACAUGUUCACUACAGGCCUGCCUUCAACAGCAUCAAAUUCACACUAUCGUGUUAAUAGCUUUGGGAGGAUGAAAGGAAACUGGCCUGGACCUAUAGGGUGAGCAAGGAAAGAGAAUUUGACAUCAACAAUAAAGGCCUAGCCAAUUUGCUCACCGCUUCUCAAAUGGACUUGAAUAAGAUGACACUGCGUGACACAAAAUUUCUUCUUUUUUUUAAAAUUUUUUUUAGAUGGAGUCUCACUCUGUCACGCCCAGGCUGGAGUGCAGUGGCACGAUCUCGGCUCCCUGCAACCUCUCUGCCUCCUGGGUUCAAGUGAUUCUCUUGCCUCAGCCUCCCGAGUAGCUGGGACUACAGGCACGUGCCACCACGCCCGGCUAAUUUUUGUAUCUUUUUAGCAGAGACGGGGUUUCACCAUGUUGGCCAGGAUGGUCUUAAUCUCCUGACCUUGUGACCCACCUGCUUCGGCCUCUCAAAGUGCUGGGAUUACAGGUGUGAGCCACCACACCUGGUCACACAAAAUUUCUCAAUUUGUCAUUUUUGGCAUAUCUGAAUCACUCUAGGAUCCCCUUGCAGUGUGGUACAACCUGUGUGAGGGGAUCCUGGGUGGAGGUGGUGGGAGGUGGAGACUGUGGAACGGGGUGAAGAUCACAGCCCAGGUAUGGCACUCUUUUUCAGGUGUGAGCUUCUAAAGGCCUAAGCAAACGUCUGAGACUUGAGGACAAAAAUUAUGGGUUUCAAAAUACAUAAAUCAAAAUACCCAUGAUCUCAGCACUUUGGGAGGCUGAGGCAGGAGGAUCACUUGGGGCCAGGAAUUCAAGACCAGCCCAGGCAACAUAGUGAAACCUCAUCUCUACAAAAAACUUUAAAAAUAGCCAAGGGUAGGCUGGGCGCGGUAGCUCACACCUGUAAUCCCAGCACUUUGGGAGGCCGAGGCUGGCAGAUCACCUGAGGUCAGGAGUUCAAGACCAGCCUGACGAACAUGGAGAAACCCCUGUCUCUACUAAAAAAAAAAAAAAAAAAAAAAAAAAAAAAUUAGCC